GUUGUUAGCUGAUAUCCAUGGCAGCUGCAGUGGCAGCGGCAGGGGCCGUGUGUGUGAGUGUGUGCACUAGUUGUACUGGACUGGCAGGAGGGGAGGGGGCAGGGGGGCGGGAGCAGGCUGGAGGGGGAGCAGGGCCGCGCGCGCGCGCGCCGGGUGGGGAGCCGCUCCGCCGCCGUCUCUCUCGCUGGCUCGCUCCCUCCCUCCCUCCGCAGCUUGACCCGGUAGUGAAGGCGGGGAGAGAGGCAGGCUGGGUCCGCCUGGCGGCCUCCGCGAGGAGGCGGGAGCGGAGAGGAGGGCCCCGAGGCCCGCGCGGGGAGGCCGCAGGGAGGGCGGCGGGGCUGCGCGCCCAGGACCCCCGCCUCCCCCGGUGCGGCCCGGGCUGCGGCGACGCGUCGUGGCCUGGACGAGGGGCGCCGGGGCCAGCGCUGCGGCUGUCGGUCCGGGGGUCCUCCUGCGAGGUCCUCCUGCGGGGUCCUGCGGGAUGCAGGGGCCGAGCUGGCGGCGGGCGCGGGACUGCGGGGCGGGCCUGGGCGCAGGAGUUCCCAACUGCGACAGGCUCUGCCUCCCCGUGUGGACGGACCCGACGCCGAGUUUGCAGAACGCCCCUCCGAGGAGCGGGAAGUUGCGGAGAGCCGGGGACCGCGCGGCGCGGGGCGGGCAGCCGGCAGCAUCCCCCGGGCGGGGCUGUCUGGAGAAAGGCGACGCCGGGGAGCGAGGGCAAGGGGCUUCGCUUUUCCGUGUGAGGGGAAACGGAAAGAAAGGGGCUGCGGGUCGGGGUGGGGCAGCAGGGAGCAGCCCCCUCGGAGCAGAGGACCCUUUAACCCGGGACCUGCGGUGGAGACGGCAGGGGCACACCCUCGGCCAGCAAAGCCCGCAGACUCGGGGUUGUAACCUGGGAAGAAGCCUUAGGAUGACCCUGCCGGCCAAGGUCCUGUGACAGAGAAGGCAAAGACGGCUCCGAGGGUGAGCACAGAGGCAGCACCGGAGCUGGAACUCAGCUCGCUGCCCGCAGCCGGCGCCUCUCCCUUCACCGAGUUUGCAGUCGCGAGGAGAGAAAAUUUCCAGUUUAUUGGCACUUGCUCAAGGUCCAAGGAGGUAGGUGUCUAAGCGAUUGGCUCUUUCUAGGCUCUUUCCAUAGUCAGGGAGACGCUUCCUCCUGUGGGUUCUCCUUGAAGUCACUGGGGGUACAGCUGCAUGGUACCUAUUUACUGAAGGAACUAAGCCAAUGAGUAAAUGUAUGAGCUUUUAUUAUCAGUCCCUUUAUUAUUUGUUUUUAAAGUUUAUGUCAGUAAGGACUUACAGAUUCUCAUUUAAUUUAAUGACUCAAACCUUCUACUGGUAGUCUUGAUUUUGAUGCUUAGAUUGUCCCAGAUUUGGCCCGUAGGGGUUCCUUCAGGAUGGUUUGCUCGUCCUUUGACAUGUCCCUCUGACUAUUUGAACACUGUGUUGCUUCCUGAUGUAACCAGAUGCUCCACAUUUAUCUUGUUCUUUCUCUUCCCCAGCUCUGGAAUCUGACUUUCUCCUCCCGGGAAACCCUGUUCCUUUUAGUGGAGAAUGAUAUUUAGAAAGCAAGAUAUGGUGAUUUGACUUAUUUAUUGCUCUUAAUGGGCCAUUACUUCUAAGCCCUUUCAGUGGACAGAGCUAGAAAAUGUAUCUAGAGAUAUUUCAAGUGUGUUUAUAUGUAGUAUAUUAAAUACAUUUACAUAAAAAACAUGAGUUCAUACUGAUACUUCCAGUUAACACAAGUCCUUUUACUUUUCACGAGAAGAGACAACUCAAAUCAUUGGCUUAUUAUUUACAAAACAUUGACCUUUUUUUUUAAGAUUUUUUUUUUAUUUUUUAUUUUUUUGUGAGGAAGAUUGGCCCUGAGCUAACAUCUGUUGCCAAUCUUCCUCUUUCUCUUCUUGAGGAGGAGUGUCACUGAGCUAACAUCUGUGCCCAUCUUCCUCUAUUUUAUGUGGGAUGCUGCCACAGCAUGGCUUGACGAGCAGUGCUUAGUCCGUGCCCAGAAUCUGAACCUAUGAACCCCAGGCCACCAAAGCAGAGCCUGUGAACUUAACCAGUACGCCACCGGGCUGGCCAAAACAUUAGUGUUUUUAAAGAGAAAAUAUUUGUCUACAUAAAGUGGGCCUAGAAAGUAAUAAUAUUGAUCUCAAACAAAGCCAUCCAAAUAGGUUUCCUUAAUAAACAUAAUAUAUCUUAGAAUCUUAGGUAUUGAAGGGAGACAUCUGUGAUCUAGAUGUGAUACAGUAGGACUCUUGCAGUAGACAGUUCAUUUGGGUCUGUGUUGGAAUAGAGAAAUAAGAUCAGGGGACUAAAGCUUGACAUAAUCCUUCCCCAAACUUUUAAGCACAUGAAAAAGCAUAUUAAGCAUUCAUGACACCCAGAAUCUUGAAAUGAAUGCAUAUUUAUGAGAGAGGUGUAAACAGCAAGAAGUACUGACACUGUGUAUAUGGAACAAUGCUAGUGUGCUCUCUCUAGAUAUAAACACAGUAGCUACAGAUGCCACACUAGCCAUUCCACUUAGCAAUAGCUUGACUAUUGUUUGGCUACUAACAUGCAUAACUUUUUAAAGAAGAUAAUGAAGUUGUGAACAUCUAAAUAAUCAGGAUUUCCAUCAUGAAAGCCCUGGACUGUGUAUUUGAAUUCUUACAGAACUUUUUCCCAGCCUGUCAUGUAUGACUUUCUCUAAUGGUCUCUCUCCUACUGCAGUGAAAACCAGACCUUCUCCAAUUGGUGUACUGAUCCCAAAGGUUAGUUCAGUAGAAGUCCAGGCUUAUUUUUACCAGUUGGUUUGCUAGAAAAAGUAUAAUAAUAGUUUUUCUUUAAGGUUCUAUAGUCAUGAUUGCAAAAUAACUAUGACUCAGUCAUGCUUUGAACUUAAUUCCAUUUUAUUAAUGAAAACACAUCUGUCUACAUCUGAAAAUAUCACUUGUGACAGCAUAGAGAGCUUUGUUUCGAAAAGUAACUUAACUUAUAGCUAAAAAUGUACCCAAGAUAGAUGGAGAAGGUUGGACCACACAUAGGUGGAUGAAAGCUGGCCUAGAAUCGUCUUAAAUGGACGUUAUCCCAAGGGCUGCCUAAAAGGCAUUGGGAUCCCGACAGAGAGUCUGUGAAGAGGUGAACUGCUGAGACCCAAAUCACAGUGAAGCACAGGAAAGAGAUGCCUCCCGAAGGAUGGGGAGAGGAGUGGAGGGUCUGAAGAACUCUGCAAGGAACUGAAACAUCCUGCAAGGGAAAAAGACCAAGAGUCGGCUUUGACGGCUGCCAAACCAGAGAGCAGUGUUGGCCCCUCACAAAAGUGCCAGCACGCAGGAGCUUUCCUGGGCCUCGGCUCUCCUCUCUCCCCCAUCUUGAGCCCAGUUGUGGUCGGACACAGUGCAAGUGAGCAGCUGAGAAGAGGAACAAAGACAAGGUGGGAGAACUGAGGAGUCUGUCUCAGCCUUGCUGUGUGCUGCAGGCCCGCCUUCUGGGCACGACUGCUUGGGAGCACAGUCUACGGGGACUGUUGAUGAGCCAAGAAGUGUCGUUGGCGGAGAUGUAGAAAGGAGAGAACAGAGAGAAUCCAAGGAUCUUAAUGGAAGAAUUACAGCAAGAUGAGGAGCAAACUCGAAAGUCAGCGUAGAGAUGGACAAGGCUGAAGCAUUCAGUGAAGAGAUUUCACGCUCCUUUUCUCCGUGUUGCUGAUCUCAAUAAGAGGAAAGAAAGGCUUAAGAUGGAAGAUCUGCUUUGGUGGAAAGAAGAUGAGCGACUUUUGAGCAUCUGUAACGCCCAGCUGCUCCCUGGCACUGGGGAGAAACUAAAGCUGCUACAAAGCCAGACAGAAACCACGUCGGAGAAUCACCCAGGAACAGCUCUGGACCUCCCUUGGAAGAAGAUGAGAUGGCUUCCAGUGGUCCCCAUUUCCCUUUUUGUCCUUCUCUUGCUAACCUUCAAGCACUGCUACCUCCUAGGUUUCUGCCCAAGGCGCCAACAUCACAAUGCUUUCCUUCUUGCUACUAUUGUUGAGAUCUUUCCUUCCUCUACCCUUUUCCCCACUGCUUAGACAAGUCAUUGCCAACCUUCCUCCUAGUGAAAUCACCUCUGCUAUAUAGAAUCAGUUUCUGAAGUGUCAAUUAAUCAGUCAGAUCAAAGAAUACAGGCUAAUGCUGUCUCAGAUCACCACAGUUUCCUGAAAAAAAAAUAUAUCUUCAUCUUUUUUGGUCAGAUUCAUGUAUGACUCUAUCAUAAAAGAUGGUGAUAAAUUUCAAAUCCUGAAGAACUUUCAAGUUAUAUAUUCUGUUUACUAACAGUCCCUAAAACCAAGUAGUUACCCCAAAAGAAACAACCUAUGAUCUGAGUUUUAAAGUUUAAGACACAAAUGGAAUCCUGUCCCUUAGACAAUCACAUUUCGGGGUAGCUUUGCGCCCAGAUCCAUUUCUCAAAGUUCCUAUUCUCUGCCGCGGAUCACAGGAAAUAUAAUUAUUGCAGGCUGUGUUUCUCAGGCUCCAGGUUUGCUGGUUUGCAUCUGGGUUUGGUCAAUGGCAGGAGAGUGGACACUGAGUGAGAAGGGGAAUCCAGGAUAUGUGCCCCCCUCGCUGUCUAAGCAGUGUCUUCAGGAAAGACUGUUCUUCCAAGCUUCUAUCUGCCUCCAGAAAAGCCCUCAUGGUUCCAGCUCCCCAGCUGGUUCUGAUCCCUGAACUCUGGUGGGACUACCUUUUCCCUUUGCCCCUCUGCCUGUGGUAAUGGGUUUCUGUUUCCUGAUCUCUGAGCCAUCUUGCAGAUUUCCUGCUUUGUGUCUCAGCUUUUUCAUGACCUGUAUAACCAGCUCUUUGCAUUCAGAACCCUCUGAUGAUGAAAUAUCAGAGUGACUUUCCUGGUUGGGCUCUUCACAGAUGGGAAGUCCUAGAGACGACAAUACUUAGCAUCGCACAUACUUUCCCACGAGUUAUUUCUGCCAUAAACUGGCUCUGGUUAUUGAGUUUUUCAAAUCAACGUGAGACAGACAAAGGUGAUGAGAAGUCAGUUAGUACAGUUUCUCUUCUAAUUUCGUUGUCUGAAAACUGCCAGAUGGGAAGAUCCACCAAAUACCCAUUUGUUAUGAUGUCAACCUGAGAAAACAAACCAAUUAAAUCCCUUGACAGGAAAAGAAGUGCAUUUUUUUUUUUUGACACCAACUUACUCUUUAUUAUCAGUAAUGAUCAAAGAAGUAAAGAGGAGCAAAUGGCUAAUGGAACUGUUGCAUAAUAGGGCGUUGAUUUUCCUCAAUGCUCGACUUGACAUUAUUUAAUUUAAUUUACCAAGCAUUUAUUGAACAACUAGGCUAUGGCAAGUAAUUGUGCUAAGCCUAAGGAUAGAAUAAUGAAUAAGAGAAAAAACUUGUCCUAUAAGACUUCAGUCUAUAGGGGAGACAUGCUAAUUUAGGACAAAGUGGAAAAAAAUGCAAGUUGCUGACGAGAGAAGGAAGAACUAACUCUUGUUUGGGGGACGUGUAGAGGGGCUGAGCAAGAAAGAUUUUCUGAAGAGGUGAUGUGAUAGUUCAUUUUAUGAGUCAACUUGACUGAAUCACACGAUGCCCAGAGAUCUGGUUAAACAUUAUAUUAUUUCUAGGGGUACCUGUGAAGGGUUUCUGGAAGAGGUUAGCGUUUGAAUUGUUAAACUGAGUAAAGCAUAUUGCCCUCCCCAGUGUGGGUGGGCAUCAUCCAAUCCACUGGGAGCCAGAGUAGAAAAGAGGGUGGAGAAGGGGAGAAUUCCCAGCUCUCCACCUGACCGUUGAGCUGGACCAUUGACCUUCUCCUGGUUCUUAAGCCUCCAGAGUGGGACUGGAAUCUGCAUCACCAGCUCUCCUGUUCUGAGACCUUAAAAUGAUCCUAUCAGCUUUUCUGGGUCUCAAGCCUGCAGACAGCAAAUCAUUGAUCUUCUCCAUAAUCUCGGGAGACUUGUUGUAUAUAUGGAUGAAUGAAUAGGAGAAGAAAUAAAUAAUAACUAAAAGUAGGUGAAUUGAAGGAAAGAUAGGUACUUAGAAACAUAUAGGUAUUAGAAAUAGAACCAAUAGGAUGAAUAUAUAUAAGGUGACAAUGGCGAACACAGUGCUAGGUAUGUUAUUGCAACUCCUUUGAUAUUGUUGGGGCAGCACCUUUAUCUAUGGCUACUUUGGCCCAACAGGCUGAAUUAUACUCUCCUACAUGGGCUUGUACUUCAGCCAAGGAAGGGCAAAACUGCCAACAUUUGUACUGAUUGUAAAGAUGCUUUUGGAGUAGCUCAUGAUUUUGGAAUAUUGUGGAUGUAACCUGGCUUCCUUACUUCCAGUGGAAAUAAAAUUAAAAAUGGCCCCUAUGCUCAGGGAUUAUUGGAUGCAAUACUUUACCCUACUGCAUUAUCUAUUAUUAAGAACCCAGCCAUCCUAAAUUUGACUCUCUGAAAGCUAAGAGAAAGCACCUCUCUGACCCUUCCACAAGGAAUUCUGACCUUUAAGGCAGCAACAGCAGCCAAAACUCUGCCAUGGUCCAAAAGGGAUAUUUUCCCAAAGAAAAACUGGCUAGAGAAGUCCAACAAUUGACAUCAGAAAGAGGAAAACAAGAGUGGAAAUUCAACAAUUGUUGGGUUGAUAAAAAGCGAAAGCCCUGGUCCAGACCAAAUAACAGCCCAGUCCUACCUGAGACUCUAAAAUUCCCAUUCUUAACCACUGUGCAUGCAUUUAACCAUUGGUCUACAGACAAAAUAAUAGCAUUUGUGAAUCGAUACUAGUGGGGAAAUAUUAACAAGGCUGUAAAAAUUGUCUACCUCACUUGUCCCCCUUGCCCAAAAUACAACCCAGGGAAGCCUGUUUGUACUGAUCCUGGACAUGUUAAACGUCUAGUGGGUGAUUCAAAGUUUGGCACAUUGACAUCAAACAACCGUCUCUGCCUCGUGGAUAUAAAUAUGUUUUGGUCGUGGUAUGUUUGUUUUCUCAUGGGACAGAAGCCUUCCUUUACAGACAGGCUACUGCCUCUUCUGUGACUAAAGUCCUUUUGGAAAAGAUUGUCCCUACCUGGGGGAACUCUUCGCAAACUUCAUAGUGAUUGACAAAUCCAUUUUACUGGUCAGGUACUUUGACAAGUCUGCACUGUUUGACCAGUUUUACACUUUCGCUGUACGUACCACCUUCAAUCCUCUGAUUUAGUCAAACACACUAAGGAUAUUAUUAAGACUCAACUGGUGAAAUUUGUGGAGACCCUCCAAAUACCUUGGCCGAAAGCAUUGCCAUUGGUCCUUCUGAAUCUCAGAUCCACCCACUCUGGAACUCAUAAACUCUCACCUUUGAGACAGUCACAGGAUGACCAAUGCACUUGUCUCCUGCCUCUUUUGACCCACAGCUGAUAAAAGGAGAUAGACUCCAAUAUUGCAAAGACUUAAUUGCUUCUAUUAAAAAUAACCAUUCUUUGGUAGAGCAAUCUUUUCACAGUGUGAUCCAGGGAGAUGAAGACCUUACGCAUUGCACCUUGCAACCUGGAGAUUUCGUCUAUUGGAAAAGACACCUCCAGAAGGACCUCUCUUCAGCCUCGCUGGAAAGGCCCCAUCAGAUACUGCUAACUAACCCUUGUGCCACAAAACUGUAUGGAAUAGACAGUUGCAUUCACAUGACACAUCUAAAGAAAGUAUCAGACUCUGACUGGACCUGCACAUCAUCUGGUGACUUAAAAGGAAAGAUUUCCUGGAUUGAAGUAGAUGGCAUCUGAUGAGACAGUUUUCCCAGAUGUCUCGACCAGGCUAGUUGGAAGUUUGUCUGCCAAACCUUUGAUGAUGACAUAAUGCUUCAGAUGACCUCCAAUGCCUGUGCUCUUGAAAACAUAUGGACUUUAGGGAAAAAAAAAAGUGCCUUAGAGUUCUUUCUUCUACCCUCCUUGUUACUAGAAUGUGACCUCAAUAGAUUUCCAAUCUGUUCGCUUUCCCUGUGACGUGGGACACGAUACCCAGGAAAGGUCCUUCCUGGCAUGGAGGAACAAAAGGCCAAUGAAACUGGAAAAACCUGAUUUUUUUAUCAACAAUGCCUUCAAAGAAAGAUCUCAAUCAAAAGGGGAAAAUAUAAAAAUUAAUUAACAGAAAUCUCAUUUAAAAUGGAGUGGGGAGGCCAGAAGGGGCAGCUCUCAUGCCCUACCAUGAUAGCAGAUCCCCACAGGAGCCCCACAUUGACUCAACCAAUGAAAAGCCACUAUAUUUUAAACUCUCAAUUCCUCCAAUGCAAUCUUUGUUUACAGUAGCCCACCCAACUUCCUCUUCCCCUCCAUAAGAGUUUCUCCUCCCCUUGUUGCUCAGAAAUUUCAUGUGGCUUGCCAUGAUUGCAGAUCUUGAAUUGCCACUCUUUGUUAAUCCUAAAUAAGCCCAUUUUUGCUGGAGAAAUAACUGGCUGUCUGUUUGUUUAAGGUUAACAGAUAUAAUGAGUCUGGGAUUCAACACAUGCACAAGAGUUUGUUAAAUGUUGCAAAUAUGAGAUAUGAUAUGCUUUUGAGGAAGAUUAUGAAGAAAGUAUGGGGAGAGUGAAACUGGUUAGGAAAUUCAUGUAAUGUAAACAUACGUCCCUUGACCUGAGAGUAAUGAGAAUGCGAGCUAAGGCAAUAGGAUUGGAAAUUGGAAAGAAAAAUGUGUUCAAUAAAUAUUUAGAAAGUUGUGUUGACUUGGUAUUAUGACUGUUGGCGUGUUUUGUUACAGAGUGAAGAAAACUGGUUAAUGAUAUCAAUAUAUUCAGGUAUUUCAAAAUCUAUCGCUAGAUAGACUGGAAAUAGAAUGGGAAUUAAAAGUCUGUAAUCAGCCCAACAUGGGUAAAAUUGUUUUCAGCUUUAUCAAAUUGUUAAUUGAGGCAGCAAAACAAAUUAGUUAAGAACAGAGAUUCUGGAGUCAGAACCUCUGACUUUGAACUCAGAAUCUGCUAGAAAAUAAUAAUAGCUGUAUAUUGAAUAAAUAGAUGAAACAAUAAGUGCAUAAAUAAGAAAUUAAUAAAAGUAGAUAAAGUGGAAACAAGAUCGGUAUUUAGAAGCAUAUAGGUAUUAGAUAUCUUCGGUGACAUUUCUGUAACUCGACUUCUUUAUCUGUGAAAUGGGGAUAGAAAUAGGACCUACUUGUCAUGGCUGAUAAUAUAUCCAAAGAGGUUAGAAUAGAGUCUAACAAGAUAUUACCAUUGUUCUUUCACCUAGGAUAUUUUUAUUAGAAUACAUCUCAUUGAAUGUUCUUUUUAAGAAAGUAAGGAUUUUUGUGUAUUUUGUUGACUAAAGAAUCUGAAGCGCCCAGAAUAGUGGCUGGCAAAUAAUAGAUGCUUGAUAAUUAUUUAUUGAAGGAAUGAGAAAAUAGCUCUA
rnacentral:lncRNA from 1 species